AAUUUACCCUGUUAUCAAUCAACUAUUUAAAUCAUAUCAGAUAUCGAAUCUCAAAGAAGACAUCAAAAUGUGAUGAAAGUAAGCCAAAAAAAGCGAAAUGCUGUAAUAUUUCGGAAUCAAGAAAUGAUGCCCAGGCACCAUCGUGUCCUAAACACCGUUAUAUAUGAAGACUGCUAACAUAACUGCCUCAUAAAACUAACUAAAUUUAUUAUGCUCCUAUUAUUUAUCUUCUUGAGUGUCAGAAACGUCUUAUCUUCUUGAGCCCACGGAUG